rnacentral:rRNA from 1 species
CGCUUUCGGGCGGGGAUUAGUGGCGAACGGGUGAGUAACACGUGGGCAAUCUGCCCUGCACUCUGGGACAAGCCCUGGAAACGGGGUCUAAUACCGGAUAUGACUGUCCAUCGCAUGGUGGAUGGUGUAAAGCUCCGGCGGUGCAGGAUGAGCCCGCGGCCUAUCAGCUUGUUGGUGAGGUAGUGGCUCACCAAGGCGACGACGGGUAGCCGGCCUGAGAGGGCGACCGGCCACACUGGGACUGAGACACGGCCCAGACUCCUACGGGAGGCAGCAGUGGGGAAUAUUGCACAAUGGGCGAAAGCCUGAUGCAGCGACGCCGCGUGAGGGAUGACGGCCUUCGGGUUGUAAACCUCUUUCAGCAGGGAAGAAGCGAAAGUGACGGUACCUGCAGAAGAAGCGCCGGCUAACUACGUGCCAGCAGCCGCGGUAAUACGUAGGGCGCAAGCGUUGUCCGGAAUUAUUGGGCGUAAAGAGCUCGUAGGCGGCUUGUCACGUCGGUUGUGAAAGCCCGGGGCUUAACCCCGGGUCUGCAGUCGAUACGGGCAGGCUAGAGUUCGGUAGGGGAGAUCGGAAUUCCUGGUGUAGCGGUGAAAUGCGCAGAUAUCAGGAGGAACACCGGUGGCGAAGGCGGAUCUCUGGGCCGAUACUGACGCUGAGGAGCGAAAGCGUGGGGAGCGAACAGGAUUAGAUACCCUGGUAGUCCACGCCGUAAACGGUGGGCACUAGGUGUGGGCAACAUUCCACGUUGUCCGUGCCGCAGCUAACGCAUUAAGUGCCCCGCCUGGGGAGUACGGCCGCAAGGCUAAAACUCAAAGGA